rnacentral:rRNA from 1 species
AUUGAACGCUGGCGGCAGGCCUAACACAUGCAAGUCGAACGAGUGGCGGACGCGUGAGUAAUGUCUGGGAAACUCCCUGUGGGAGAGGGAUAACUACUGGAGAAGGUGGCUCAUACCGCAUACCAUCAGAUGUGCCCCGAUGGGAUUAGCUAGUAGGUGGGGUAACGGCUCACCUAGGCGACGAUCCCUAGCUGGUCUGAGAGGAUGACCAGCCACACGGGAACUGAGACACGGUCCAGACUCCUACGGGAGGCAGCAGUGGGGAAUAUUGCACAAUGGGCGCAAGCCUGAUGCAGCCAUGCCGCGUGUAUGAAGAAGGCCUUCGGGUUGUAAAGUACUUUCAGCGGGGAGGCGUUACCCGCAGAAGAAGCACCGGCUAACUCCGUGCCAGCCGCCGCGGUAAUAC